CUGACAGUGAGGAAGAACUGGAGGGGGCUUCGCAAUGGGGAGAAAGAAGCAUACCCAAGGUUCCUUCACAGUCCCUUCUGCAUACAGAAGCUCUACUCAUCCCUCAAGACUUUCUAACAACGAACAUCAGUCUGCUUAGACUUGACCCGACUUUGACAAUUCAACAGAGAAAACAUUUUAGAGAACGGCGAGCAACAAGAUGGAAAGAACCUG